GACGAACGCUGGCGGCGUGCCUAAUACAUGCAAGUCGAGCGGACUUGAAGGAGUGCUUGCACUCCUGAGAGUUAGCGGCGGACGGGUGAGUAACACGUAGGCAACCUGCCCUCAAGACUGGGAUAACUACCGGAAACGGUAGCUAAUACCGGAUAAUUUAUUACAUAGCAUUAUGUGAUAAUGAAAGACGGAGCAAUCUGUCACUUGGGGAUGGGCCUGCGGCGCAUUAGCUAGUUGGUGGGGUAACGGCCCACCAAGGCGACGAUGCGUAGCCGACCUGAGAGGGUGAACGGCCACACUGGGACUGAGACACGGCCCAGACUCCUACGGGAGGCAGCAGUAGGGAAUCUUCCGCAAUGGGCGAAAGCCUGACGGAGCAACGCCGCGUGAGUAAUGAAGGUUUUCGGAUCGUAAAGCUCUGUUGCCAAGGAAGAACGUCUCAUAGAGUAACUGCUAUGAGAGUGACGGUACUUGAGAAGAAAGCCCCGGCUAACUACGUG
rnacentral:rRNA from 1 species